CAUAACUAUUCUGCAAAAUAACUAUAUAUUCAACGGUAAUAAAUGUAUACCUUGAUGAAUAUUUGAUAUUACUGUCACAGACAGUGCUAACUGUAUUCAUUACUCAUCUUUAUCUUGUUUCUCUUGAUAAUCAAACCACUAGUUUUGUUUGGGGUACCAAUGCGUCCAUGUGUAUCAUGCGACUUAGUGCACUGGCUGUGGAUUAGUAAAAUGUGACCAGUUCUGCCCUCUGAGGUAGAAACAGAAGGCCCUGAGGAGGGUAUCCUUUGAGAAACAAAUGUGCAGCAGCUUGCUAAGAUCAGAGCUGUCUGUAGGAAAGCUCUCCCUUUCAAUUUACCCUUCUCUUUUAUGGCAGAGACUCUGGAAAUCAGACCAAGUGCAGCAGCUCUUUCAGUUAAAAAAAACCUGAGGCAAGAUGCAUGACAACAGAAGGUGCAGGUGAGGCGCAUGACAACAGAAGGUGCAGGUGAGGCGCAUGACAACAGAAGGUGCGGGUAAGGCGCAUGACAACAGAAGGUGCGGGUAAGGUGCAUGACAACAGAAGGUGCAGGUAAGGUGCAUGACAACAGAAGGUGCAGGUAAGGUGCAUGACAACAGAAGGUGCAGGUAAGGUGCAUGACAACAGAAGGUGCAGAUGAGGCGCAUGACAACAGAAGGUGCAGAUGAGGCGCAUGACAACAGAAGGGGUAGGUAAGGUGCAUGACAACAGAAGGGGCAGGUAAGGCGCAUGACAACAGAAGGGGCAGGUAAGGUGCAUGACAACAGAAGGUGCGGGUAAGGCACAUGACAACAGAAGGUGCGGGUAAGGUGCAUGACAACAGAAGGUGCAGGUGAGGUGCAUGACAACAGAAGGUGCAGGUAAGGUGCAUGACAACAGAAGGGGCAGGUAAGGUGCAUGACAACAGAAGGUGCAGGUAAGGUGCAUGACAACAGAAGGUACAGAUGAGGCGCAUGACAACAGAAGGUGCAGGUAAGGUGCAUGACAACAGAAGGUGCAGGUAAGGUGCAUGACAACAGAAGGGGCAGGUAAGGUGCAUGACAACAGAAGGUGCAGGUAAGGUGCAUGACAACAGAAGGUGCAGAUGAGGUGCAUGACAACAGAAGGGGCAGGUAAGGCGCAUGACAACAGAAGGGGCAGGUAAGGCGCAUGACAACAGAAGGGGCAGGUAAGGCGCAUGACAACAGAAGGGGCGGGUAAGGCGCAUGACAACAGAAGGUGCGGGUAAGGCGCAUGACAACAGAAGGUGCGGGUAAGGUGCAUGACAACAGAAGGUGCGGGUAAGGCGCAUGACAACAGAAGGUGCGGGUAAGGCGCAUGACAACAGAAGGUGCGGGUAAGGCGCAUGACAACAGAAGGUGCGGGUAAGGCGCAUGACAACAGAAGGUGCGGGUAAGGCGCAUGACAACAGAAGGGGCGGGUAAGGCGCAUGACAACAGAAGGGGCGGGUAAGGCGCAUGACAACAGAAGGUGCGGGUAAGGCGCAUGACAACAGAAGGUGCGGGUAAGGCGCAUGACAACAGAAGGGGCAGGUAAGGCGCAUGACAACAGAAGGUGCGGGUAAGGUGCAUGACAACAGAAGGUGCGGGUAAGGCGCAUGACAACAGAAGGUGCGGGUAAGGUGCAUGACAACAGAAGGUGCGGGUAAGGCGCAUGACAACAAAAGGUGCGGGUAAGGUGCAUGACAACAGAAGGUGCGGGUGAGGUGCAUGACAACAGAAGGUGCAGGUGAGGCGCAUGACAACAGAAGGUGCAGGUGAGGGGCAUGACAACAGAAGGUGCGGGUAAGGUGCAUGACAACAGAAGGUGCGGGUAAGGCGCAUGAUAACAGAAGGUGUGGGUAAGGUGCAUGACAACAGAAGGUGCGGGUAAGGUGCAUGACAACAGAAGGUGCAGGUGAGGUGCAUGACAACAGAAGGUGCAGGUAAGGUGCAUGACAACAGAAGGGGCAGGUAAGGUGCAUGACAACAGAAGGUGCAGGUGAGGGGCAUGACAACAGAAGGUGCAGGUAAGGUGCAUGACAACAGAAGGUGCAGGUGAGGCCCAUGACAACAGAAGGUGCAGGUAAGGCGCAUGACAACAGAAGGUGUGGGUAAGGCGCAUGACAACAGAAGGUGUGGGUAAGGCGCAUGACAACAGAAGGUGUGGGUAAGGUGCAUGACAACAGAAGGUGCGGGUAAGGUGCAUGACAACAGAAGGUGCGGGUAAGGCGCAUGACAACAGAUGGGCAGGUAAGAUGUGUGAUGACAGAAGGUGCAGGUAAGUUCCAGGUAAGAGGAUGCACUAAAAGACAGAACUCAGCAGCUUGAUAGCACUAUAAACCAGAGAAUGCUAAGUUCUUAUCUCAGGUCUGGGGUUCUGUUGGUAACUAAAUUGCAUCCAUUUAAGAGGACAGCAGAAAGUGUUUUUGACACAUACCUAAUACCUAAUCUUUUGUUUCCAAAUUCUCAUGCACACAAAGUCCUACACAGAAACAAAACAUAUCUCACAGUACAAACUUUCUUAUUUACUAUAUACAGGAUGAGCAUACAUGUCCAAAAUCUAAAAUUCUCAAAGCCCAAACAUUUCAGGAAUGUUUAUAUAUUUAUACAUACUAGAAAUAGUAUUAAAGAUAACCAAAAUAGAAUGAAGCAAACAAACCCUUGAAAUGUAGUCUACGUAUUUUAGAAAGUCACCAAAGAAAGAAAAACAUGACAUUAACACCUUGCAG